GUUUCUGUAGUGUAGUGGUUAUCACGUUUGCUUUACACGCAAAAGGUCUCUGGUUCAAAACCAGACAGAAACA
rnacentral:tRNA from 1 species